rnacentral:rRNA from 1 species
UUGCCCUACGGGGGGCAGCAGUGGGGGAUAUUGCACAAUGGGGGAAACCCUGAUGCAGUGACGCCGCGUGAGUGAAAAAGUAAUUCGUUAUGUAAAGCUCUAUCAGCAGGGAAGAAACAGACGGUACCUGAGUAAGAAGCCCCGGCUAACUACGUGCCAGCAGCCGCGGUAAUACGGAGGGGGCAGGCGUUAUCCGGAUUUACUGGGUGUAAAGGGAGCGUAGACGGCGAAGAAAG